rnacentral:rRNA from 1 species
AGAGUUUGAUCCUGGCUCAGGACGAACGCUGGCGGCGCGCCUAACACAUGCAAGUCGAACGAGCGAGAGAGAGCUUGCUUUCUCAAGCGAGUGGCGAACGGGUGAGUAACGCGUGAGGAACCUGCCUCAAAGAGGGGGACAACAGUUGGAAACGACUGCUAAUACCGCAUAAGCCCACAGCUCGGCAUCGAGCAGAGGGAAAAGGAGCAAUCCGCUUUGAGAUGGCCUCGCGUCCGAUUAGCUAGUUGGUGAGGUAAUGGCCCACCAAGGCGACGAUCGGUAGCCGGACUGAGAGGUUGAACGGCCACAUUGGGACUGAGACACGGCCCAGACUCCUACGGGAGGCAGCAGUGGGGAAUAUUGCACAAUGGGGGAAACCCUGAUGCAGCGACGCCGCGUGGAGGAAGGAGGUCUUCGGAUUGUAAACUCCUGUUGUUGAGGAAGAUAAUGACGGUACUCAACAAGGAAGUGACGGCUAACUACGUGCCAGCAGCCGCGGUAAAACGUAGGUCACAAGCGUUGUCCGGAAUUACUGGGUGUAAAGGGAGCGCAGGCGGGAAGACAAGUUGGAAGUGAAAUCUAUGGGCUCAACCCAUAAACUGCUUUCAAAACUGUUUUUCUUGAGUAGUGCAGAGGUAGGCGGAAUUCCCGGUAUAGCGGUGGAAUGCGUAGAUAUCGGGAGGAACACCAGUGGCGAAGGCGGCCUACUGGGCACCAACUGACGCUGAGGCUCGAAAGUGUGGGUAGCAAACAGGAUUAGAUACCCUGGUAGUCCACACCGUAAACGAUGAUUACUAGGUGUUGGAGGAUUGACCCCUUCAGUGCCGCAGUUAACACAAUAAGUAAUCCACCUGGGGAGUACGACCGCAAGGUUGAAACUCAAAGGAAUUGACGGGGGCCCGCACAAGCAGUGGAGUAUGUGGUUUAAUUCGACGCAACGCGAAGAACCUUACCAAGUCUUGACAUCCCUUGACGAACAUAGAAAUAUGUUUUCUCUUCGGAGCAAGGAGACAGGUGGUGCAUGGUUGUCGUCAGCUCGUGUCGUGAGAUGUUGGGUUAAGUCCCGCAACGAGCGCAACCCUUACUGUCAGUUACUACGCAAGAGGACUCUGGCAGGACUGCCGUUGACAAAACGGAGGGAGGUGGGGAUGACGUCAAAUCAUCAUGCCCUUUAUGACUUGGGCUACACACGUACUACAAUGGCGUUAAACAAAGAGAAGCAAGACCGCGAGGUGGAGCAAAACUCAGAAACAACGUCCCAGUUCGGACUGCAGGCUGCAACUCGCCUGCACGAAGUCGGAAUUGCUAGUAAUCGUGGAUCAGCAUGCCACGGUGAAUACGUUCNCCGGGCAUUUGUACACAGGCGCCCGUNC